GACGAACGCUGGCGGCGUGCUUAACACAUGCAAGUCGCACGAAGUGGCGCACGGGUGAGUAACGCGUAAACAACCUGCCCUUCAGAGGGGGACAACCGUUGGAACCGACUGCUAAUACCGCAUACUGACGGCGCGGAUUGCGUCGGAUUCGCUAGUUUGAGGGGUAACGGCCUACCAAGGCGAUGAUCAGUAGCCGGUCUGAGAGGAUGAACGGGCACAUUGGGACUGGGACACCGCACAGACUUCUACGGGAGGCAGCCGUGGGGAAUCCUUCGGAAUGGAGGAAAGUCUGAAGGAGCAAAGCCGCGGGAGUGAUGACGGCCUUCGGGUUGUAAAGCUCUGUUAAUCGGGACGCGGUACCGGAAUAGAAAGCCACGGCUAACUACGUGCCAGCAGCCGCGGUAAUAC
rnacentral:rRNA from 1 species